rnacentral:snoRNA from 1 species
GUCCAUGAUGAUAAAGACAUCUUUACAGGUAAGUCAGCAGAGUGACUGAGCACUGCUGUCGGUCACCUUCAAACAAGC